GAGGCGCCCCAGCCACGUGCGCCGUGCGCGGUGCUUUUUGUUUUAAUAUAAUUUUUAUUAAAUUUUCCGUUUUUACAAUUUAAAAUUCUCGUUUCUACAUCCUUAAGAUAUAUCAAUGACUUCCCUCCUUCUCUUUCCAUGGUUCAUUUUACAUCUCCUAAAUCCCUGCAUAUUUUACAAAAACUAUACAAUUUGAAUUUAUCUUAAUGCUGCCGGCGUUUUCAGUUGUAUGGCUUAGGUGUGUUUUAAUCCACUGGAGAAAGCAGGAGAUCCAGAGUUUCUAUGAGCUCAGCUUGAGCUUUCUUUUUUAAGGUUUUGUUAAUGCUGCUAAUCAUAUGGCUUUUGCUGUAUUUCUUUUACUUUUAUCAUUGAUAAACGAUUUUUUAUAUAAAUAAACUUAUAUAUAUAUAUGACAUUAAUAUGAAUCCAUAUAUCCAUAGAUCUCAGGGCUGUCCACAACAUAAAAGUGCAAUAUAAAAAAUACAUAAUAAAGCAAAAACAAACCAAUAGCUUCUCUCUCAUUGUAAUUGGGAUGUUUAGCGCAUCUUUUAGUUGCUGCUUCGUUAACAGUGUUUAUUGGUGCUCUGUUUGCUCUAGUCCCUGGCUGGUGCUAAGACUGGUUAUUGUGUAUUUUUUUAAAAAAAAAUAGUGCAUAGUUUUUAGUGCUGCCUUUGCUGUGAACCAAUGCUGGAUUAUAAAGUAAGUAAAUCUUAUUUUUAAACUUACUUUACAAGCUGUUGCCUGAUUUUUUCCAAAGAGGGAAGGAAGUCAGCUUCCUUUCUUUGUUGGACUUGGUCAAAGGCUUUGCAGCCUACCAUAAUUCCUAUGCUUUCAAUUUUGCUGCCAAGGAUGCGAUUUUAAAACUCUGUUUAACAGUCACACGUAGGGGGGAGGGCCUGGAAGGAUAAAUUGCAAUUAAUAUACCCUCCUAUAGCACUCAUGAAAUUAAGAGACACCUGCUUCUUGGGAGAAAAGCGAUGACAAACCUAGACAGCAUCUUAAAAAGCAGAGACAUCACCUUGCCAACAAAGCUCCGUAUAGUUAAAGCUAUGGUUUUCCCAGUAGUGAUGUAUGGAAGUGAGAGCUGGACCAUAAAGAAGGCUGAUUGCCGAAGAAUUGAUGCUUUUGAGUUAUGGUGCUGGAGGAGACUCUUGAGAGUCCCAUGGACUGCAAGAAGAUCAAACCUCUCCAUUCUGAUGGAAAUUAGCCCUGAGUGCUCACUGGAAGGACAGAUCCUGAAGCUGAGGCUCCAAGACUUUGGCCACCUCAUGAGAAGACCCUGAUGUUGGGAAAGAUGGAGGGCACAAGGAGAAGGGGACGACAGAGGACGAGAUGGUGGGACAGUGUUCUCGAAGCUACAAACAUGAGUUUGACCAAACUGCGGGAGGCAGUGGAAGACAGGAGUGCCUGGUGUGCUCUAAUCCAGGGGGUCACGAAGAGGUGGACACAACUAAAGAACAACAACAACCUGUUAAAAACCAUCCCAUAAGGGCAAGGAGGAAAAGAAGCGGAAUGAGAGUAGAGCAGCCGCUGGGGGGCAGCGGGAGAGGCAAUAGGAGACCCCUCAAAAACUGGACAGCUUCACUGCCAGGAGUAGGAAGGGAGCUGUGGCAAGAUGUGGGCAUAAAGGAAGAGUGGGUGGUGAAGUGAUAAAAAACCUGUAGGCAAUGCAAAUAUAUUCAGAGUGGUCCAGCCAGGAGCAAGGAUGGAAGAGCUGCCAAAUCAUCUUGGGAAAACAGGUGACUGGGCAAGAAAAUGGCAGAUGGGAUGCAAUUUGUAUAAGUGCAGUGAGGUGGCACCUUAGCAGGAAAUUGCCCCGACUCUCCGGAGGCAAGCCUGGGCUUUGGGUCAGCUCCUGCAGCUUGGGACAGGCGAAGUCUCUCCCCAAAACCCCACAGCAAUGGGGCAGCUCCCUGUGGCAGACAAGGAUUCGGGUGGCGUCAAGGGGCUUCCUCCCUCCCCAAAAGAGCAGCCCCUCUCCUCUUGCUAAUUAUGCUGUUUCAAAUGAUCGUUUUAUAUCUGACUUCCUUUAGUAAUGUUUUCUAUCGAAAUAACAGUUUGGAUUUUUUGGAUAUUUAAUAAUGUUUUCUAUCAAAAUAACGGUUUGGAUUUUUAGGUUAACUUUGCUGCGUUCAAUGUUCAUUCUGUAGUUCACCACUUUUGUAAUGUUUUCUUUUGAAAUAUUUUAAUAUUUUAGUUUCCUGCCAAUUAUGUUGCUAUGAACGUAUAUUUUAUAUUUGACUUUUGUCAGUAAUGUUUUGCUCUGGAUUGUUUGAUUUGAUGCUUUGAUGUGUGGUAAACCGCAUUUAAAUGUUUUUCUUGAAAAUAUGUUGAGUCUCUUUAGGUUAACCUAUUGAUGGUUUGUACAUUAUAUUAACCAAACCAGUCCAAACCAGAAAUUUCCAUUUGUACCAUUAUCCAGCCAUGGUUUGUAGAAUCAGGAAGGUGUUGCUUUCUCCUCACCCUUGCGUUACUAGAUGCCCUACUCCAUUUUUGAGUUGUGAUUGUCUGCUUCCCAUGCCAUUCCACACCAGGAAACUAUGGUUAGUGCUACCUCCAAACCACUGGUUCACAUGGGAUUGAAGAAGUGAGAGGAGUUAUGUGAUUUGAAUGACUAUCUGAAAUGAGCUGGUGAAAAUGGGGUCCCUCUGCGCCUCAGGAUACACUACUAGCUUGCCAUCUACACACAGAAACAUGUGUUGUGUCCAUCAGAAUUCAAUCUGUAUUAAGGUCCAAUGCAAGUAAUUUUUGUUUAGGCUCAUCAAAGCCCCUUCCUCAAUAAAUCUACUAUAUAAUUUUUGUUCUUAAAACUAUCUUAAAAGCUUUACGAUCCUAAUUCAUCUUCUCUGCACAGCAGAUGAUCUUUGUUAUUUGUUUUACAGCUAGAAAUGCCAUCUGAUCUCAGUCCUAAGGGCAAAAGGACUUCUAGGAAUUCAAAUUUGGCACUGGCGCCCAGUGAAGCAAUUCUGGUAGAAUGGAAGUAGGGGAAGGAACAUAAUUUAUGGGAGUUCUGGCAGAGAAAACAUCAAGUGAAUGGAAGCACAAGUGCCCACUGGAGGAGUGUAUUGAU